UCUCAUUUCCAUGGUUACUCUGCAAAAUUCUUGAAAUGUCAUUUUUUCCUAUAAAUGACAUCUAGUUUUUUGACUGUGUCUGCUUCGUAGUGAUACUAAAUUUUGGUGGAAAUCUCCCCUUACUCGUCAUCUUCGAUGACCACGAUAGAUUAUAUGAUAUGAAAAUUACAUCUUUAUAGUGCCUCUACUGUGAAAAGAAUUGGUUUGCAAAAUAGUAGGACGAACUCCUCAACGCAAAAUUUGAAAGAGGUUUGGUGUCAUAAUGAAGAUUAAUACGCCUCCAUCCCUAUUCCCCCUUUCCUUCAAAGAAAAUUUUCAAAAUAUCAGAUUACUCCUGAAAAAACCACAGCUAGAUGAUACAUUGGGUUAUUUCUUGAUUAGCAAUCUGGAUACACAAAAAUGCACCGAUCUUUAUGUGAACGAGGCAGAAGAGGCAACACAUUCAGCAACAAGUACUGACAAAAAGCAUACCCGCCAAGAACAAUUCUUACGCCAGGAUUGUAAAUAGAAAAUUUUCUAAUAAAUCGCUAUAAAUAUAAAACACA